AGUCAGUUGGCAAAAGUGUAAACAUUAUAAUAUAGUCUUACGCAAGUCGGUUUCAUACGAUAAUAACAGUAUACAGUUUAAAAGUUGAACCUCGAAAAUCAUCACUACUUUGAAGCAUAUUAUUCCGUAACUGCUGUAAAUGAUUGUGUCACUGCAGUAAAAUAAAAACCUGUUUGAUUUAGCGACAACACACAAUGUAAGAAAACACUGUGGAAUGCAAUUCUAUUGUGAGAAGAAAAAACAACAACAACAACAACAACAACAACAGCAAUAAUCUAGAUUACUUUAAGGCUGAGGGAAAUUAAGUGUGACUAACGUAAACAGCAUGAAACAACAAGAUGUAUUGUGUAUACAUUGUGCAGUACCAAAACAUCUAUCCGGUUUCCGUGCUGCUUAUCCUAUACAGAGUCACAGGGGGAGCCUGGAACCUAUCCCAGGGAAUAAGCUGAGGUACACCUUGGACAGGGUUCUAACCUUUCGCAGGGAACAACGUUCACACACUAUGGACAAUUCUAAAACGCUGAUCAGCCCGUAAUGCUUGUCUUUGGAAUGGGGGAGGAAACCAGAGUACCUGGAGGAAACCACUGUAUCACAGAGAGAACAUGCAAAAUCCAUGCGCAGAGGCAGGAUUUGAACCUGGAGGCAGGAGGCGAAUGUGCUAGCCACUAAGCCACCAAACCCCCCGACAAAGAGACACAUCGAGAGAGUGUCAGGUCAUAUCCGAGAGCUUGGAACACCUACACAAAUGCAGACAUACUCAACUUCUAUUUUAAUCAUCAGACCUGAGAACGUUUACGCAUUUUUGCGUAGGAAGUCCUAAUUUUCCCAUGGAGCAGGAGUAUGCUUGUACAAUCAAUUGUGACAGAAAAAUACAUGAAAAGGGUAUUCCUUUUCCCAGCAGUAAAAACGGAAGAUGACCCAAUCGACACGUGAAUCCGAAAUGAGCUGUGCAGGUGUUUUGAACUCUCUACUAUUAACUGACAUCCUGCAAACUCCACCCCCUUCCCCUCCAUAUCAGGUUAGUAAUCGCUCGCCUUUUUCUGUUUUUUUUCUUUCUUUCUUCUUCCGCUCGAUAGAUGCAGCUGAUACAGCGCCGUCACUUACUGUCAAGCAACAGAGCAAGUGUUUACUCUAAAUUGAGUAAAUUGGCUAAUGUUAGCCAAAGGGCCGCUGUUGAUUCUGCUGACUGUAGAGGCUCCUACUCAUUCUGGAGGGCACGCUAAAAUUUGCAUCCAUUUGAACUUCAAAGAAGAGACUCUUCUUCAGUGGACUUCUUAACCACCAGAUCUGAAUCCAACCGAGCACCUUUGGGAUGUGGUACAACGGGAGAUUCACGGUUUGAAUGUGCAGCUGACAAAUCUGUAGCGGUUAUACUGUAUGAUGCAAUCAUGUCAACAUGGACCAGAAUCUCAAAGGAAUAUUUCCAACAUCUUCUGGAUUCCAGGCCAUGACGAAGACUGUUCUGAGAGCAAGGGGAGUCAUAUUGAAUACGGUAUCACUGCAUUUCACUUAACAUUUGUCUCAUGUAUUGAAGGGGGGGGGAAAAAACUACCCAUGUCAUGCCCCUCCAUAAAUGUGGAGACCCAGCUGAUGUAACAAAUUAUUAUAAGCUCAUUUCUAAGCUCCUACACACAGCUAAAAUAUUAGUCUUUAGUUCAUUCACAAUAACCUGCUGUCAUCAACAACAGUAUAUCAACAUUCUUCAGCCUCAGCAGUCAGGGUUCAGGCCAGAACACAGCUCUCUCACAGCUGCCCCCUGCUGCACUCUUUGUUGAUCUCUAAAAAUCAUUCGAAACUGUCGACCAUGAUAUCUUAAUGAACAGAACUGUCUCAUUUGGGUUUGGAACAAGCUCUCCCUGAUCUGGUUUGGUACCUACCUUACUGGGAGGGCAUAAACAGUUGUUGGUUGGUUGGAUGGUUUCAUAUCACAGUUCCAUGUCAUCUGUAAUGGUGUCCCACAAGGGCCAAUCAUAGGCCUGUUGUUAUUCACCAUAUACGGGUGUAUAUAAAGAAAAAGCUCACGGAAAUCAAACAUCCAGUAUCUAAAAAUAAUUGAUUAAAGAAUUUAUAAUACAGAAAUGUCGACCUUGUGGAAAGUGUGUUCAUUUAUGCACCGAUACUCGGUCGGGGUUUUAAUUCUUUUGUAUGAAUGACUGCGUGAACGCGGCGGGUCUUCUCAGGUCAACAUUUCUCUAUUAUAAAUUCUUUAUUCGAAUAUUUUGAGAAACUGGAUGCUUGAUUUCCAUGAGCCGUAAACCGUAAUCAUCGAGAUUAAAACAAAAACAAACAAACAAAAAAAAAAAAACGGCUUGAAAUAUUUCACUUUAUGUGUACACGGUAUUUCAUUAUCUACAAUAUAUGAAAGUUCCACUUUUUAAAUAAACUUUCCCACGACGUUCAAAUUUUUUGAGAUGCACCUGUAUUUUAGCAAUGUAAUCAGACCCCUCCGAUUGUCCCUUUUAUGCUAAUGAUACAGUCACCUGGACUGACACUAGAUCACGCUGUCAACUACAGUCGAUUAGUAACUCCCUGCAGUCUUCUCAUUCACACACGAAGAAAAGCCUAUCUUGUGAUUUGAUUGUAUUUCAUCAAUACAUUUCAGAUUUUCUUCAAUGAUUCCACUGUGUAUGUCGUAUUCUCUCUAGUAGCCCUUUUACAGUGAUGUAUUUACGUGCAGUACCAUAAUGAACCAUACCACAUAUUUUGUACUGCAGUAUUUAAUGAUUGUAGACACAACUACACAGUUAAACCGCCAGUAUCUUGUCUGUGGGUGAUCUAAAUGAAUGUUCCUAUGGUAUUUCAUUAUAAAUGAGUUAUUUGAACCAAUGAUCCUGCAACUGAUGAUUUUUUUCUUCCCAAACUACAGUCAAGUCAUUACCAUAGUGCCUUGAUUUAAAAAAAAUAA